rnacentral:rRNA from 1 species
UAUAACGGUCCUAAGGUAGCGAAAUUCCUUGUCGGGUAAGUUCCGACCUGCACGAAUGGCGUAAUGAUGGCCAGGCUGUCUCCACCCGAGACUCAGUGAAAUUGAACUCGCUGUGAAGAUGCAGUGUACCCGCGGCAAGACGGAAAGACCCCGUGAACCUUUACUAUAGCUUGACACUGAACAUUGAGCCUUGAUGUGUAGGAUAGGUGGGAGGCUUUGAAGUGUGGACGCCAGUCUGCAUGGAGCCGACCUUGAAAUACCACCCUUUAAUGUUUGAUGUUCUAACGUUGGCCCGUAAUCCGGGUUGCGGACAGUGUCUGGUGGGUAGUUUGACUGGGGCGGUCUCCUCCUAAAGAGUAACGGAGGAGCACGAAGGUUGGCUAAUCCUGGUCGGACAUCAGGAGGUUAGUGCAAUGGCAUAAGCCAGCUUGACUGCGAGCGUGACGGCGCGAGCAGGUGCGAAAGCAGGUCAUAGUGAUCCGGUGGUUCUGAAUGGAAGGGCCAUCGCUCAACGGAUAAAAGGUACUCCGGGGAUAACAGGCUGAUACCGCCCAAGAGUUCAUAUCGACGGCGGUGUUUGGCACCUCGAUGUCGGCUCAUCACAUCCUGGGGCUGAAGUAGGUCCCAAGGGUAUGGCUGUUCGCCAUUUAAAGUGGUACGCGAGCUGGGUUUAGAACGUCGUGAGACAGUUCGGUCCCUAUCUGCCGUGGGCGCUGGAGAACUGAGGGGGGCUGCUCCUAGUACGAGAGGACCGGAGUGGACGCAUCACUGGUGUUCGGGUUGUCAUGCCAAUGGCACUGCCCGGUAGCUAAAUGCGGAAGAGAUAAGUGCUGAAAGCAUCUAAGCACGAAACUUGCCCCGAGAUGAGUUCUCCCUGACUCCUUGAGAGUCCUGAAGGAACGUUGAAGACGACGACGUUGAUAGGCCGGGUGUGUAAGCGCAGCGAUGCGUUGAGCUAACCGGUACUAAUGAACCGUGAGGCUUAACCUU